rnacentral:rRNA from 1 species
GACGAACGCUGGCGGCGUGCCUAAUACAUGCAAGUAGAACGCUGAAGAGAGGAGCUUGCUCUUCUUGGAUGAGUUGCGAACGGGUGAGUAACGCGUAGGUAACCUGCCUUGUAGCGGGGGAUAACUAUUGGAAACGAUAGCUAAUACCGCAUAACAAUGGAUGACACAUGUCAUUUAUUUGAAAGGGGCAAUUGCUCCACUACAAGAUGGACCUGCGUUGUAUUAGCUAGUAGGUGAGGUAAUGGCUCACCUAGGCGACGAUACAUAGCCGACCUGAGAGGGGGAUCGGCCACACUGGGACGGAGACACGGCCCAGACUCCUACGGGAGGCAGCAGUAGGGAAUCUUCGGCAAUGGGGGCAACACUGACCGAGCAACGCCGCGUGAGUGAAGAAGGUUUUCGGAUCGUAAAGCUCUGUUGUAAGUCAAGAACGGGUGUGAGAGUGGAAAGUUCACACUGUGACGGUAGCUUACCAGAAAGGGACGGCUAACUACGUG